AUUGAACGCUGGCGGAAUGCUUUACACAUGCAAGUCGAACGGCAGCACGGACUUCGGUCUGGUGGCGAGUGGCGAACGGGUGAGUAAUGUAUCGGAACGUAUCCAAUAAUGGGGGAUAACUAGUCGAAAGAUUAGCUAAUACCGCAUACGCCCUACGGGGGAAAGCUAGGGACCUUCGGGCCUGGCGUUAAUGGAGCGGCCGAUAUCUGAUUAGCUAGUUGGUGAGGUAAAAGCUCACCAAGGCGACGAUCAGUAGCUGGUCUGAGAGGACGACCAGCCACACUGGAACUGAGACACGGUCCAGACUCCUACGGGAGGCAGCAGUGGGGAAUUUUGGACAAUGGGCGAAAGCCUGAUCCAGCCAUUCCGCGUGAGUGAAGAAGGCCUUCGGGUUGUAAAGCUCUUUCGCAAGAGAAGAAAACUUACCCUCUAACAUAGGGUGAGGCUGACGGUAUCUUGAUAAGAAGCACCGGCUAACUACGUGCCAGCAGCCGCCGCCG
rnacentral:rRNA from 1 species